rnacentral:rRNA from 1 species
AUUGAACGCUGGCGGCAGGCCUAACACAUGCAAGUCGAGCGAGCGGCGGACGGGUGAGUACUGUCUGGGAAACUGCCUGCUGGAGGGGGAUAACUACUGGAAACGGUAGCUAAUACCGCCUACCAUCAUAUGUGCCCAGAUGGGAUUAGCUAGUAGGUGGGGUAACGGCUCACCUAGGCGACGCUCCCUAGCUGGUCUGAGAGGAUGAUCAGCCACAAGGGGACGGAGACACGGUCCAGAAUCCUACGGGAGGCAGCAGUGGGGAAUAUUGCACAAUGGGCGCAAGCCUGAUGCAGCCAUGCCGCGUGUAUGAAGAAGGACUUCGGGUUGUAAAGCACUUUCAGCGGGGAGGCGUUACCCGCAGAAGAAGCACCGGCUAACUCCGUGCCAGCAGCCGCGGUAAUAC